AUGAGGAUUGUGCUGCCGCUGCUGCUGCUUCUCGUGGCGUCGGCCGCAGUUGGAUCUGCGGCGGAGGCCGGGCGGCGGAAAGGGAAAGGAACUCGAUACAGCGUCAUGGCUUUCCAUGCCGCCGGGGACGGCGAGACGGAUGAUUCCAAGGCGUUCGAGGAGACAUGGGACUCAGCUUGCAGAGAUAGCGGCGGGGCGACGGUGUACGUCCCUGAAGGAAGGACCUUCCUGCUGGGAGAAACCAAGUUGCAGGGACCCUGCAAGUCACCGAUCACCAUGCAGGUGGACGGGGACAUCGUGGCGCCAAGCUCCCUCUGGAGCCUAAAGUCGUUAACAAGCCUCCUGGCCUUCUACAGGGUGGACAACCUGACGGUGGACGGCAUCGGGCAGAUCGACGGCCGAGGCGCGCCGUGGUGGGACUGCUACAACCAGAAGAAAUGCCAUUACCGGCCACAGCUGGUGUCAUUCUCGUUCUGCAACGGUCUACGGGUGACCAACAUUCGCCUCAAGGACAGCGCCGACAAGCACAUGAGCGUGUUCGAGUGCAGCCAGGUGCAGGUGCACAACGUCUCCGUCAUGGCGCCCUGGGACAGCCCCAACACGGACGGGAUCACCAUGGGGGCCUCCGACCAUGUCCGCAUCUCCUCUUGCAACAUCCACAGCGGUGAUGACUGCGUGUCGAUUCUAACGGGCACCACCGAUGUCAACGUCACUGACGUCACGUGUGGGCCCGGCCAUGGCAUCAGUGUGGGAAGCCUUGGAGGUGCCGGUGAAAAACCAGCGCUGGUGGAAAGAAUUACACUAUCCAACUGCAACUUCUUUAGUACGAUGACCGGUGUCAGGAUCAAAUCGUGGCAGGGAGGGCGAGGCAAAGCGAACACGUUCCUUUUCAGGGACCUCAACAUGACUGAAGUACGGUAUCCUAUCGACAUUGACCAGUUCUAUUGCCCCCAGGCAAACUGUCCAGAACGGGAAGGUGGUGUGGCCAUAACAGACGCGAGGUUCAUCAACAUCCGGGGGACGUCCUCGGAGCAAGAGGCCAUCCAGAUCCUGUGCAGCAAAAGCGCGCCGUGCCACGGGAUUUUUCUCCACAACGUUGACCUCUCUUGGGCCAACCACACGGCCCCAACAAAAGCCAAAAUCCUAAAUGCCCAAGGACGCGUCGCGGGCACGGUGAAGCCACAAGUACGGUUCCGCGGCCUUUGA
rnacentral:rRNA from 1 species